AAAAUAGUAAUAUGAUAUUUUUAUUUAAAGGUCCAAAAAAGUAAUAGAAAAUAUAGCCAAAUUAUUAAACUUUUACCUAAGGGCAAUAAGGGUGUCGACCAAAAUUAGGACAUGAAUACGAUUAUGCUUAAUCCGAACAUGCUGCAAUUCGAGCCAUUUUUGGUUGUGUCAAAACCGCCACCCUGGUUGGUCGCAAUAAAAAUUAAAUGGGCCAACAACAAUGGGCCUCUCUUUCUAGGUGGCCCAGAUACUAAUGUAGGCGCCCGCUAGUUGUUGUGCAUGGCCCAGAAAGAGCGGCGUAACAAUACUCCUCCGGCGGCGUGUCCGUACAAACGCAUUAGCUAAUGCGCACGUGCGAGUCACGCGACUGUGCACAGCCGGUAAGUCGCCGUUUCUUUAUGCAUUUUCUCACCGACGCAGCCCUCGUCUCAUUAAAAAAAUUAAUCCCACAAAGGAACGCCCCUACGGCAGCCAAUCAGGAUACGACACGUCAUCACCGCCACCACCGCCCCUAUGAACGACGGCACCGGAACUCCUUCGCCGGCGACUGCCCCACCGAGACCGUUACAGCCGUUGGCUUGCCGUGAAGAUUGCUGGACCGAGGACGCUACCCAUACUCUCAUCGAGGCCUGGGGUGACCGUUAUCUUGAGCUCAACCGCGGCAACCUCCGGCAGAAGCACUGGCAGGAGGUGGCUGACGCCGUCAACGCCCUUCACGGCCACCUUAAGAAGGCUCGCCGGACGGACGUUCAGUGCAAGAACCGUAUCGAUACGUUGAAGAAGAAGUACAAGAUCGAAAAGUCUAGGGUUUCGGACUCGAACGGGGCGUUGACGAGUCAAUGGCCAUUCUACGAACGGCUUGAUGCGCUAAUAGGAUCGAACAUGCCGGCAAAGAAACCGUCGCCGCCGGUUUACCGGAAAACACCACCAAUGCUUCCGCCAGUGCCCGUGGGUCCCCGAUCGGUAAUGCAUAAACGUCCGGCUCCGGUCACCGCCGACGAGUCCUUCCGUCGGAACUUCUCCGUGGUGGCUGCUGCGGCGGCAGCUGUGGAGGAGGUGGAGGAGGCGGAGUCGGCAAGGUCGGAGUCUGACGGUGACGGAGGCAGGGAAGGGGUGAAGGAAUUGGCUCAGGCGAUUGUGAGGUUCGGAGAGAUUUAUGAGAAAGUUGAGGAGUCUAAGCAGAAGCAGAUGAUAGACUUGGAGGUGAAGAGAAUGCAGUUUGCAAGGGAUUUGGAGAUUCAGAGGAUGAAACUGUUCAUGGAUACUCAGGUUCAACUUGAAAAAAUUAAGCAUGCUAAGCGAUCUUCCGGGAAUGGCUGAAAUGCGGGGUCCGGGAAUGUGUUGUCAUUCCCUUACAGUUGGGGAUGAGGCCCAGUGGACAGUUAUUCAUAGUUGGCGUCUCUCUGCAAAGUGUCAACCAUUUCAAACUUUGAAGAUGGAAGGUAUAGAAUAGAUAGAUAUCAAGUUUAACCCUGCGAAGUUCAUACAAACACAUGGGCCUGGCUAAUUUUGCAGAAGAAGAUAAGGCAGUUGGCAGUGAAGCUUGGACAAAAGGUCGUUUUGUUUUGUUUUGUUUUGCUUUCCCCCCCCCCCCCCCCCCCUCUCUAUUCACCAGUAGUGUUUCUUCUUUUCUUUCUUGUUCUUUUUCCCUUUUGCUUUUGACGUAGAUCAGAACAUAACAGAUAAAGAGUAUAAACAAUAUGUUCCUUUUUCUCUCA